CAGCACCUCAGAUUCCAGCAGACAUCAAAACAAAUGAUGCCAGCUUUGAGAAAUGAGAUAUAAGAUACAAAGCUGAGAAAUAAUAUGCAAAUCAAAAUGAACGAUACUGU